AAGUACAGUUGAGCUUCCUUACUACUCUCUACGUGUCCAAGAGUUAUCUGCAAUGUUGAUCUAAAAUCCAAAACAAUUGCCCAGAAGUCAGGUAAGAGCAAUGCUGAAACUCCAUACUAUGGAAACAAGGUAUCUAGCUGGAUGCAGCUGGUAAAUUCAGUCCCAUGGACCUUUGGGGUUUAUUUUCCUUAGCAGCUGACACCAUGUGUCUUUUGCAUCCCUGGUGGUGCUUGGUGCUUCUGCCCGUCUGGGCUCAUUGAGAAUAGGGAUUAAGAUAUGAUUUUAGGGAAUCUCAGAUGGGCUGGCGUUCCCUGUGCAUGUAUGAGCUGUUACUAUAAAGUCAUGUGACUGGCAUUUUAACAAAGGCUUUAGAGCUUCUAUAUCCCAGUGUAUGCUGUCUCCCUUGAGUGGCCCCAGCAAGAUACCACAUGGUUUUCUAAUGAUGUUGCCAUUGGCAAAAACAUUUCUGGAACUCUCCUCAAAGUCUAGAAACGUCUAGAAAUAUAGACUCCUAAAAUGUUAGAAUUGGAAGGGACCUUAAAGGUCAUCUAUUCCAACCUCCUCCUCUUACUGAGGCAGAAGCUAAGAUUUGGAAUGGUGACUCACUGAUUACUAGGGAUUUACUACAUCACCUUCUUUUGAUUCCUCCUGGGAGAUUUGCCCCUUCUUCUCUGGACAAAUCUUUAAUCUUUUGUGGUUAUAGAAGGGAGAAUUUUAAGUUUGAAACUAGUCAGAGGCUAUUUGAAGCCUCUGGAAGAGAAGGUAGGUCAAGAGGGUUUGGAGUCAUAGAUGAGGUACAGCCAUAAAGCAGCUAUUUUCUUCUGCUCCUAAACAGUUCCCAGAGAGACGUUCCAGAGAUGUCUUAAGCAUUCUGGUCAUCAUGGAGAUAUGUGGAGGCUCCUCAGUGACUACGUUGGUGGGAGUGUCACUCGAAUGUAUGUGUUCUGUGUGUCUGUGUGCGUGCACACAUGCAAAUGUAUGUUUAAACAUGCACCAAUCUCAUUACUUUAUAUUCACACCACUUCAGUUCUAGGCCCUGCCAGCAACAUAUGACUCCAAAGGCUGCUGGAGGGUUGGUACCCAAGACAGAAGAGCUGGUGCUGGUGCUGGUCUGCGGAGUAAGAGGAGGGUGACUUAAUGCCCUUAGAGAAAUCAUCAGUUCCUGCCAUUUCACACAGUUCCCCUUGGUUCGGAGUACAUAAUAUCGGAAGGCUAGUCUCGUUGGUAGUAGCAAAGACACUUAUUUUUCCACUUGCCACCUUUUUCUAUAUCUCCAGUAAUUUGAAAAACAUUUUGGUUGGAACUGAUUUUUGUUUUUGGAAAAAAGAUAAAUAUUUUUAAUAGAAAAAGAUAUAUAUUUUAAAUAUUUCCCCCAAAGUACUACUUUCAUUUUAAGAAAUUGCAUAGCAGUAGCAACAAAUUUUAGUUUCAGGUGCAGAGUGAAAAGCUACUUCCUGUUAAGUGAACAUUCCAGACGCUGGAUCCAACUUACUGACUUUCCCCUUUGCACCUACUGUUGUGCCUGGAAUGGUAUCAACAAUUGUUGUUUUCCAAACUUCCAGCUGAGCAGUAGCCCUUCACACAGAGGCAAAGUGGUUUAGGUUAAGGAGCGACAAGGCUUCACCUCUGAUCUGCUCGGCUUUGGAGGAGGAAAAAACCACUAAGGUAUUAUCUGUAUUUUAAAAUGCUUCCCUUACUUAACUAAAACCUGAACACUUUUUGCUUCUGAAAGAAUUCUGUGUCCUGUUGCUCACUUGCUUGCUUGUGAAGUUUGUCACAAAUGGAGUUGUCAGUGUGAAUUAUUUGGAGACGGAGAAAGACAAGAAAAGGAAAAUAGAGCGAUGGGAGGGUUUGUGGGCUAGAAUGAGAGAAAUACCAUUUCACAAAACAAACAUUUCUCAUGAAUCAUUGGAAUCUGAUUCACCCUACAAAUUUCUCAUGCCCUACUAACUCUGUUCUUUGUGUAUAUGCAUUCUGUGUUUUUCAUUAAAGGGGAAGUUCUGAGAGGUUGGAGGAUCAAGGUCAUUCUGAUGGGAAGUCCAAGAAAUGCGGUGCCCUGGGAAGGGGGAGCUCAGCCCUUUUCCAUAGAGUGGGAGAGACCCUUUGGGAACAUGCUCAUGACCCGUUGAUUGUAUCUGCUGGAAGAAGUCAUCUGGGCCUGUUGGGUUGGUGUCAAAUCAGGCGAUUAAGCAUCCAGCCCUUGGCCCCUUUCGUAUAAUUGCCUCUUUUUAAAAGGUUAAUUCGCCUUGGCUGAAGCUUCCCAGGAAAACCCUUUAAAAAAAUGCCCUUAAGGAUUAAAGCUGCUUAAUUAAUUGCUGAUUACAAAGUGACAAACUAAGAUGGGAAACUGCCACUGUGCUUGACUGGUGAAGCUGAUGACCGAAGGCUGUGCCGUUCAUUCUUUCUGUUCCAUUCAGACAUUCCUGAGCUUCGUUCGAACUUGUGCCAACCCUGUGCUGGGUCAUGGAGAUACAAGGAUGGAAAGGACAGUCCCUGCUCCUAAGAAGCUCAGCCUCUAAUGGAAUGUAUUUGAAGGUAUAUGUGGCUGGAGAGUUUGUUCAUGCUCGUGUGAAAGGCCACUUCUUCAUAGUGAUGAUCUUGGAUGGAGUCAUUUGAGAUACUGUCCAGCACCUGACAGGCUGCACUGAACAUUUUAGACACCCCCAUCAGUAUUUCUCAAUUUGAUUGCAACACUGCUUUCCAUUUCCUAAUUUUAUCAGAGGAGAAUGAAUUUUCUCCUCCAGUGAUACAGGACAAUAAUUUCUCUUCAGGGGCUGCUUUUACAUAAGCUCCAGGAAAUGAGGCAGGGUGUGGAUCAUUGACAUGGUCAGAGGAGGCCCACAUCCCACCUUACUGAUCUCCUAACCUCUCUCCCAACCAGACCUCUCACCAGAGCUGGCAGCAACUUUGGAUUCCUUUCCUUUUUCCUGCCUGGCUUUUCGUUGAGAUGGAAAGCCAACAGGAGAGGAAGGAAAGAAAAACUGAAGGCUGGAUUAUAAUCAUAAAAUGCUGUAGCUGGAAAGGGCAUGGAAAUAACUCAGAUCAAACUCACCCACCUGCUUCCCCUUUUUUUUCCUAAUAAGGAACUUGAGGUCCAGUGCUUUAUGCCCUGUUGACACUGUAGUUUCCUAGGAUCUAAAUAGUCUUUUUAAGUUACACACACACACACACAAUUUGCUAAUGAGGAGGACACCCAAAUGAUAUAGGAAGCUUUUUGUUUUAAUAGCUUUUUUCUUCUAAAAUUUUUCAGAAUUAAAAUAUGCCUCUGUCCCCUGAAUACAUACCCAGAUAGGGGAAACCCCAUAAUGUGACUAAUGUGAAUAUGGAAUCUUGGGAAGUGAUAUAUUUUGAUUGGAAUAGUCAUCAUUUUAACCACCAAGGGUUAAAACCAUGCCAGCCCUUCAUUUUUCUUUGAAAAAAUCAAGAACUCCUUAGGGACUUAAAUCUUUCUCAGCCAGCCUUUUCCCCCAUCAACCAAAAGAGUGGUAUUCAGCCUGGUUUUUAGAAGUGAACAUAGUUGCUUAUAAAUUCUUGUGAGUUAGUGACAAAGCAGGUAUGUUUUUUUGGGUCAGGGAGAUUCUAGGGAAAGCUGCUGUUGAAUAGAUUUUGCUCCAAAGAUGAUAUAGAAAAUGCAUCUUUAUACGUGAUUGUUACCCACUGUAGCUUUCUGAAGAAGAUCGUUCUAUAGGAAAAAGAGACAUAAGCAGAGGUCACAACCAGUUUAGAGAUCGGUUAAAUUGGAUGAAGAAAAAGUGCCAAGACUGAAUGUGCACAUUGUUCUAUGUUCUAUGUAUUAUCAGUAUUUUUAUUCUUCCUAAGAAAAAUAUUUACACACUUUG